rnacentral:lncRNA from 1 species
CUCAGCCUCGCUUCUCGCAUCUUCUCAUCGAACAGGGCCACCCCCACCUUCUCUCGAAUAACUUCAUUCUUAAUCUUAUCUAACCUGGUGAGGCCGCACAUCCACCUGAGUAUCCUCAUCUCCGCAACCUUCAUUCUCUGAACAUGAGAGUUCUUUACCGGCCAGCACUCUGGCCCAUACAACAUUGCAGGUCUAACCACAGCUCUAUAAAAUUUCUCCUUGACUUUCUGUGGAACUUUCUUGUCACACAGGACUCCUGAUGCAAGCCUCCACUUUGACCACCCCGCUCCUAUACGAUGAGUGACGUCCCCG